rnacentral:ncRNA from 1 species
AUAAAAAACGCCAAACUUAUCGUGAGGUAAGGACGGAAAGCCACGGGUCUCAAACGGAUUUGAGUUGUACCUGAGACAGCCGGGUUGCAGUAC